rnacentral:tRNA from 1 species
GGAGGGUUGUCCGAGUGGUUUAUGGAGCAAGUUUUGAAAACUUGUGGUCGCAAGGCCUCAGAGGUUCGAAUCCUCUACCCUCCGCCA